rnacentral:rRNA from 1 species
UAGCGGCGGACGGGUGAGUAACGCGUGGAUAACCUGCCUCGUACAGGGGGAUAACAGUUAGAAAUGACUGCUAAUACCGCAUAAGCGCACAAGACCGCAUGGUCCGGUGUGAAAAACUCCGGUGGUAUGGGAUGGAUCCGCGUCUGAUUAGCUGGUUGGUGAGGUAACGGCCCACCAAGGCGACGAUCAGUAGCCGACCUGAGAGGGUGGCCGGCCACAUUGGGACUGAGACACGGCCCAAACUCCUACGGGAGGCAGCAGUGGGGAAUAUUGCACAAUGGGGGAAACCCUGAUGCAGCAACGCCGCGUGAGUGAAGAAGUAUUUCGGUAUGUAAAGCUCUAUCAGCAGGGAAGAAGAAAGACGGUACCUGACUAAGAAGCCCCGGCUAACUACGUGCCAGCAGCCGCGGUAAUACGUAGGGGGCAAGCGUUAUCCGGAUUUACUGGGUGUAAAGGGAGCGUAGACGGCUGUGCAAGUCUGAAGUGAAAGCCCGUGGCUCAACCGCGGAACUGCUUUGGAAACUGUAUAGCUUGAGUACUGGAGAGGCAGGCGGAAUUCCUAGUGUAGCGGUGAAAUGCGUAGAUAUUAGGAGGAACACCAGUGGCGAAGGCGGCCUGCUGGACAGAAACUGACGUUGAGGCUCGAGAGCGUGGGGAGCAAACAGGAUUAGAUACCCUGGUAGUCCACGCGGUAAACGAUGAAUGCUAGGUGUUGGGGAGCAAAGCUCUUCGGGUGCCGUCGCAAACGCAGUAAGCAUUCCACCUGGGGAGUACGUUCGCAAGAAUGAAACUCAAAGGAAUUGACGGGGACCCGCACAAGCGGUGGAGCAUGUGGUUUAAUUCGAAGCAACGCGAAGAACCUUACCAAGUCUUGACAUCCUCCUGAAUGAUGGGUAAAGCCGUCAGGCCUUCGGGACAGGAGAGACAGGUGGUGCAUGGUUGUCGUCAGCUCGUGUCGUGAGAUGUUGGGUUAAGUCCCGCAACGAGCGCAACCCUUAUCCUCAGUAGCCAGCGGCCAGGCCGGGCACUCUGUGGAGACUGCCAGGGAGAACCUGGAGGAAGGUGGGGAUGACGUCAAAUCAUCAUGCCCCUUAUGAUUUGGGCUACACACGUGCUACAAUGGCGUAAACAAAGGGAAGCGAAGUGGCGACACGGAGCGAAUCCCAAAAAUAACGUCUCAGUUCGGAUUGUAGUCUGCAACUCGACUACAUGAAGCUGGAAUCGCUAGUAAUCGCGGAUCAGAAUGCCGCGGUGAAUACGUUCCCGGGUCUUGUACACAACGCCCGUCA